GCAGGCAAGUGUGGAACUCCAAAGGAAUUGACCGGGGGCCGCACAAGCGGUGGAGUAUGUGGUUUAAUUCGAUGCAACGCGAAGAACCCUUACCAGGGUUUGACAUCCUGCGAACCUCUUAGAAAUUUGAGGGUGCCUUCGGGAAUGCAGUGACAGGUGGUGCAUGGCUGUCGUCAGCUCGUGUCGUGAGAUGUUGGGUUAAGUCCCGCAACGAGCGCAACCCACGUUUUUAGUUGCCAGCAUUUAGUUGGGCACUCUAGAAAGACCGCCGGUGAUAAACCGGAGGAAGGUGUGGAUGACGUCAAGUCAUCAUGCCCCUUACACCCUGGGCUACACACGUACUACAAUGCUACGGACAAAGGGCAGCAAACUCGCGAGAGCUAGCAAAUCCCAUAAACCGUGGCUCAGUUCAGAUCGUAGGCUGCAACUCGCCUACGUGAAGUAGGAAUCUCUAGUAAUCGCAGGUCAGCAUACUGCGGUGAAUACGUUCCCGGGCCUUGUACACACCGCCCGUCACACCAUGGAAGUUGGCCAUGCCCGAAGUCGUUACUCCAACCCUUGUGGAGGAGGACGCCGAAGGUGGGGCUAAUGACUGGGGUGAAGUCGUAACAAGGUAA
rnacentral:rRNA from 1 species